UACGUAGGUGGCAAGCGUUGUCCGGAUUUACUGGGCGUAAAGGGCGUGCAGGCGGUCUGUUAAGUGCAGGGUGAAAGCUCCCGGCUCAACUGGGAGAGGUCCUUGCAUACUGGCGGACUUGAGGGGGGUAGAGGAAAGUGGAAUUCCCGGUGUAGUGGUGAUAUGCGUAGAUAUCGGGAGGAACACCUGUGGCGAAGGCGGCUUUCUGGGCCCUACCUGACGCUGAGACGCGAAAGCGUGGGUAGCAAACAGG
rnacentral:rRNA from 1 species